UGCAAGUCGAGCGGUAACAGGCGUAGCAAUACGUGCUGACGAGCGGCAAACGGGUGAGUAACGCUUCGGAAUCUGCCCAAUGGUGGGGAAUAACCAGCCGAAAGGUUGGCUAAUACCGCAUGAGCCCUUCGGGGGAAAGCGGGGGAUCGCAAGACCUCGCGCCGAUGGAUGAGCCGAAGCCGGAUUAGCUAGUUGGUAGGGUAACGGCCUACCAAGGCGACGAUCCGUAGCUGGUCUGAGAGGACGACCAGCCACACUGGGACUGAGACACGGCCCAGACUCCUACGGGAGGCAGCAGUGGGGAAUAUUGGACAAUGGGGGAAACCCUGAUCCAGCGACGCCGCGUGUGUGAAGAAGGCCUGCGGGUUGUAAAGCACUUUUAGUGGGGAUGAAAAGCUCAGGGCUAACACCUCUGGGUCUUGACCUAACCCACAGAAAAAGCACCGGCUAACUCUGUGCCAGCAGCCGCGGUAAUACAGAGGGUGCAAGCGUUAAUCGGAAUUACUGGGCGUAAAGCGUACGUAGACGGUUGGAUAAGUCGGAUGUGAAAGCCCCGGGCUCAACCUGGGAAUGGCAUUCGAGACUGUGCAGCUAGGGUGCGGAAGAGGGAAGCGGAAUUUCCGGUGUAGCGGUGAAAUGCGUAGAUAUCGGAAGGAACACCAGUGGCGAAAGCGGCUUCCUGGUCCAGCACCGACGUUCAGGUACGAAAGCAUGGGGAGCAAACAGGAUUAGAUACCCUGGUAGUCCAUGCCAUAAACGAUGAGGACUAGACGUUGAGGGGUAAGCCUCCCAGUGUCGUAGCUACGCGCUAGUCCUCCGCCUGGGGAGUACGGCCGCAAGGUUGAAACUCAAGGAAUUGACGGGGACCCGCACAAGCGGUGGAG
rnacentral:rRNA from 1 species